GGCUCGGUAGCUCAGUUGGUAGAGCAAAGGACUGAAAAUCCUUGUGUCGCCGGUUCGAUCCCGGCCCUGGCCACCA
rnacentral:tRNA from 1 species